CAGAGGUCCCAAGCGUUAGGCGGAAUCACUGGGCUUAAAGCGUGUGUAGGCGGAUUUGUAAGUACCUUGUGAAAUCCCACGGCUCAACCGUGGAACUGCUUGGUAUACUGCUUAUCUUGGGCCAUCUAGGGGCGAGCGGAACAAACGGUGGAGCGGUGAAAUGCGUAGAUAUCGUUUGGAACGCCAAUGGUGAAAACAGCUCGCUGGGGAUGUGCCGACGCUGAGAUACGAAAGCCAGGGGAGCGAACGGGAUUAGAUACCCCGGUAGUCCUGGCUGUAAACGAUGUCGACUAGAUCGUAGUGGCUCUGACGCUAUUACGGUCGAAGCAAAAGUGCUAAGUCGACCGCCUGGGAAGUACGGUCGCAAGGCUA
rnacentral:rRNA from 1 species